rnacentral:rRNA from 1 species
UUCUAACGUGGACCCGUGAUCCGGGUUGCGGACAGUGUCUGGUGGGUAGUUUGACUGGGGCGGUCUCCUCCUAAAGAGUAACGGAGGAGCACGAAGGUUGGCUAAUCCUGGUCGGACAUCAGGAGGUUAGUGCAAUGGCAUAAGCCAGCUUGACUGCGAGCGUGACGGCGCGAGCAGGUGCGAAAGCAGGUCAUAGUGAUCCGGUGGUUCUGAAUGGAAGGGCCAUCGCUCAACGGAUAAAAGGUACUCCGGGGAUAACAGGCUGAUACCGCCCAAGAGUUCAUAUCGACGGCGGUGUUUGGCACCUCGAUGUCGGCUCAUCACAUCCUGGGGCUGAAGUAGGUCCCAAGGGUAUGGCUGUUCGCCAUUUAAAGUGGUACGCGAGCUGGGUUUAGAACGUCGUGAGACAGUUCGGUCCCUAUCUGCCGUGGGCGCUGGAGAACUGAGGGGGGCUGCUCCUAGUACGAGAGGACCGGAGUGGACGCAUCACUGGUGUUCGGGUUGUCAUGCCAAUGGCACUGCCCGGUAGCUAAAUGCGGAAGAGAUAAGUGCUGAAAGCAUCUAAGCACGAAACUUGCCCCGAGAUGAGUUCUCCCUGAGACUUUAGGUCUCCUGAAGGAACGUUGAAGACGACGACGUUGAUAGGCCGGGUGUGUAAGCGCAGCGAUGCGUUGAGCUAACCGGUACUAAUGAACCGUGAGGCUUAACCUUACA